rnacentral:lncRNA from 1 species
GGAAAAAGAAGCCAGUAAUUACACCUGCUAGCAUUUCCCUCUGGCCAUGGACACAAUUACCCAUCAAGGAUAAUUGACAGCAAGCUAAUCGGGGUUUCUGUGGGAUCUGCUGUUUCCAAAGCAUCUCCAGGUUUCCUUUACAUUUCGUCAGCCGUGGUUACUGGAUCCUUCGCCACACGGUGCUGGGCCACGUGAAGGAGCAACUCUAAGGAAAAUGCAACUGCUCUCUGCAUCAUCCUGCUGUAGGAAUGGCACAAGGAACACAUGUAGGCUUUAGGCUU